UACGUAGGGACCGAGCGUUGUCCGGAAUCAUUGGGCGUAAAGAGCGUGUAGGCGGCUUGCUAAGUCUUGCGUGAAAUCUCGGGGCUCAACCCCGAGCGGUCGUGGGAAACUGGCAGGCUAGAGUGCGGGAGAGGAGAAUGGAAUUCCUGGUGUAGCGGUGAAAUGCGUAGAUAUCAGGAGGAACACCGGUGGUGUAGACGGCUCUCUGGACCGUAACUGACGCUGAGGCACGAAAGCGUGGGUAGCAAACAGG
rnacentral:rRNA from 1 species